GGCCUGCCCACUGAGAAUUUAAAUGGCCGCGGUAUUUUGACCGUGCAAAGGUAGCAUAAUAAUUAGUUUUUUAAUUGAAAGCUGGAAUGAAAGGUUGGAUGAGAAAAUAGCUGUCUCUAUUUGGAUUAAUUAAAAUUUUAUUUUUAAGUAAAAAAGCUUAAAUGAUAAUAGAAGACGAGAAGACCCUAUAGAGUUUUAAUUUAGUUGGGGUGAUUGAAAAAUUUAAUAAACUUUUUUUAUAUUUAACCAUUAAUUUAUGAUUGAUUGAUCCUUAAAUUAAGAUUAAAAGAAAAAAUUACCUUAGGGAUAACAGCGUAAUUUUUUUAGAGAGUUCAAAUCGAAAAAAAAGAUUGCGACCUCGAUGUUGGAUUAAAAUUAAAUUUUGGUGUAGAAGCUA
rnacentral:rRNA from 1 species